rnacentral:rRNA from 1 species
CAGAGACUGCAUGCGUUAUUCGGAUUCACUGGGCGUAAAGGGUGCGCAGGCGGUUGGGUGUGUCAGAUGUGAAAUCCCGAGGCUCAACCUCGGAACUGCGUCUGAGACUACUCAACUAGAGUACUGGAGAGGGUAACGGAAUUCACGGUGUAGCAGUGAAAUGCGUAGAUAUCGUGAGGAACACCAGAGGCGAAGGCGGUUACCUGGACAGUUACUGACGCUCAGGCACGAAAGCAUGGGGAGCAAAAGGGAUUAGAUACCCCUGUAGUCCAUGCCCUAAACGGUGCACACUAGGUCUUAGCGGAUUCGACCCCACUAGGGCCCAAGCUAACGCGUUAAGUGUGCCGCCUGAGGACUACGGUCGCAAGACUA